GGCUGAAGCUAUUGGCAAAAUAAUUUGGCUAACUCUUCCCACCUGCGAACACACAUAUGAGACACCCACAGUAAACCACCCCAAAACCAACUCACGUUUGAGUUCAGUCAUGGCUGCUAGCAUUUCUUAUUGAACCAAAUUUAAAACGAGGUCAAAUCAGGAAGUGCAGUUAUCCUUUAAAACUAACUAAUGACAUGUUAUACAACUACCUUGCUUCCUUGCAGAUGAGCCAAGGAGGUGGACAGAUAAGAACAGCAGACAAGUGGAGCACUUAGAACAGCAGCCAGGGGCGACUGGUAGGGAAGAGGAUGAUUUACGUAACACAGACACAGGCCAAAAAUAAGUUAAGCUACCCAGUAUCCACUUGAACGUUUUGGAUUGUAAAACUAAAGAGUCACAUCAGACAAGACAGAAACAGCAACAUAAGAAUAAAUGAUAGAGAGAGGCACCAGACAAGACAGAGAAAUAGCAACAGAAUAAUAUUAUAUGAUUGAGAGAGACAUCAGAAGAACAGAACAGGCUAUAACUGAAGAGGAUAGACAGUAACAAACAAGAACCCGAGACAGCCACAGGUACAAGACAGAAAAAGUGACAGAAGAGAUGGAGAGAGAACAGAGGACAACCCAGGUCAAUGAAACUGAUUCCAGAGGCCGACCCAAAACAACUUAGGAGGCACGCACACCAUCCACCGCUUUUUUUGUAUUUUUUAUUAACCAGAGAUCUGUGAAACCCUGUAUGCAGAUGAAGAGGUCCCAAUGAACGUCCCAAGAGAAUAAGAGUACAUCUUUGUAUACCAUGGGUUAUACACUGAGUGUACAAAACAUUAGGAACACAUUCGAAAGCAUUCAACAGGGAUACUGGCCCAUGUUGACUCCAAUGCUUCUCACAGUUGUACGCCUGUCACCUACUACCACACUCUGUUCAAGGGCACUUAAAUCUUUUGUCUUGCCCAUUCACCCUCUGAAUGGCACACAUACAGUACACAAUCCAUGUCUCAAUUGUCUCAAGGUAUAAAAAUCAUUCUUUAACCUGUAUUCUCCCUUUCAUCUACACUGUUCGAAAUGCAUUUAAGUUACAUCAACAAGGUAUCAUAGCAUUCACCUGGAUUCACUUGGUCAGUCUAUGUCAUGGAAAGAGCAGUUGUUCCUAAUGUUUUGUACACUCCGUGUCUGUUAGCAAAUGUUGUCAACAGAAAUACAGUUUAAAAGUCACACACAAUGGAUAAACCUAUUACAACUGGAGCAGGCCAACCCUGCUGGGUGUGCAGGCUUCUGUUCCAGCCCAGCACUAACGCACCUUAUUCAACGUAUAUCAAACCUAAUUAGUUAAUAAUUAAAGUGUCUAUUGCUGGGCUGGAAUAGAAGUCUGCUCACCAAGUAGACCAAGGAACAGUGGAGCGAGGACUUUUUUUUUGUUCACCUGAAAUUAUGCCUUAGUAGUUAUAGCCUACUUGUUACUAAGAUGGCUAACCUUUACAUAUGACUUAACUUACUUACUUGUUAAAGUGUCGAGUCUUUGAAGUGAAGUGUUUAAACUUUUUUUAAUUGUUAACUUGAAACAAUUAUUCAAGAUGAAUUAGUGUCAAUGUUGAUUAAUCACAGAUCACAAUCCUCUAAUCAAGAGGGAAAGUGAAUGUGUAUCUAAUUUGUCUGUGAUUCUGUGUUGUACUCUCGAAGGAACAUUACAGUUUUGUUCAGUUGUAAGCUCUCCAAUUAGUUUUUGUUUGAUUGUCACUCUCUCUCUGCAUACUAUGGCUGCAACACCUACAGUAUGAUGGCAUUAGCUUUAUUAGCAUUUGCAAUGCACGACUUGACAUUGUGCAUCUGAAGCAGAGAAUAGCUUGACUUGAUAUUGUAGAGCUAUACGUUCUCAAUUUAAAAAUGAUACCAGUAGACAAUAAUACUUAUUUUCCACCAUAAUUUGCAAAUAAAUUCAUGAAAAAUCCUACAAUGUGAUUUUCUGGAUUUUUUUUCUCAUUUUGUCUGUCAUAGUUGAAGUGUACCUAUGAUGAAAAUUACAGGCCUCUCAUCUUUUUAAGUGGGAGAACUUGCACAAUUGGUGGCUGACUAAAUACUUUUUUUGCCCCACUGUAUAUUAAGGGUUGUUGACUGUUGUUGACUGUCCCAUUAACAGGACAGUUGUAAAUCUCGCAGUGCCUUGUCACAAUCGCAGAUUUUAGAAAAACAGCAAAUGUCGUAACAUUUUAGGUGUCUUUAAGUGUCUUAUAUCGGCUGAAAGCUUAAAUUCUUGUUAUUAUUACUGCACUGUCCAAUUUACAGUAGCUAUUACUGCAGAAAAAUGCCAUGCUAUUGUUUAAGGAGAGCUCCUAACAACAAAUAACUUUGUCACCACGAUAGGUUUUAUAAAUUCCCCUCUGAAGGUGAAAUUUGUACUUUCAUUCUGAAAUGUUGCUCUGAUUUAUCAUCCAAAGGGUCCCAAAGGCAACAUGAAGUGUUGUUUUGUUAGAUAAAAUCAUUUUUCAUAUCCUAAAAGGGUCCAUAUAGCAUGCAUGAUCGAUUUUUUAUUUCCACUCAAUUUGCAAAGAAAUUAAUCUGUAAAAUUCUAACCCUAAACGUUGUUUCAACCAGUCAAAUCACAUUCGUAUGAAUUCCUCAGAGAUCCUAGAACGUAACCAGACUUCGCUAUAUCAUUAGGGGUUUAGUAUAUCCUAUAGGACUCCAAAUUUGGUCAGAGAGCAAUGCCUUCAUGGCACGCCGAUGACGCGGCCGGUCUUCAUUUGAUCGACUGUAUUUUUGUCAAAUAAGCACCAAUCGGGGUCAAACAAAGUUAGCUAGAUAGCCAAUGAGCUGGGCUUUAUGGGAGUAUCCGGAAACCCAAUAUCUGUCGUAAAAUGUAGCUACUAACGUUGUGCGACAGCAUGCCUUUUUCUUUUCGACAAAAAUGAUAAGAAUAUUCAGUAAUGAGUUAUGAAGUUAUGAAAACUGGUUGUUUUGC